rnacentral:rRNA from 1 species
GGGGAAUAUUGCACAAUGGGCGAAAGCCUGAUGCAGCAACGCCGCGUGAGUGAAGAAGGUUUUCGGAUCGUAAAGCUCUGUUGCCAGGGAAGAACAAGUGCCGUUCGAACAGGGCGGUGCCUUGACGGUACCCGGCCAGAAAGCCACGGCUAACUACGUGCCAGCAGCCGCGGUAAUACGUAGGUGGCAAGCGUUGUCCGGAAUUAUUGGGCGUAAAGCGCGCGCAGGCGGUUUCUUAAGUCUGAUGUGAAAUCUUGCGGCUCAACCGCAAGCGGUCAUUGGAAACUGGGAGGCUUGAGUGCAGAAGAGGAGAGUGGAAUUCCACGUGUAGCGGUGAAAUGCGUAGAGAUGUGGAGGAACACCAGUGGCGAAGGCGGCUCUCUGGUCUGUAACUGACGCUGAGGCGCGAAAGCGUGGGGAGCAAAC